CAGGAUGAACGCUAGCGGCAGGCUUAAUACAUGCAAGUCGAACGGAAAUCCCGCCUUCAGGCGGGAUCGAGUGGCGCACGGGUGCGUAACACGUAUGCAACCUACCCUUAACUGGGGAAUAACCCUGUGAAAGCGGGGCUAAUACCCCAUAACAUUAUGGUAAGGCAUCUUACUAUUAUCAAAGAUUUAUCGGUUAGGGAUGGGCAUGCGCCCCAUUAGUUAGUUGGUUAGGUAACGGCUAACCCAAGACUGUGAUGGGUAGGGGUUCUGAGAGGAUUAUCCCCCACACUGGUACUGAGACACGGACCAGACUCCUACGGGAGGCAGCAGUAAGGAAUAUUGGGCAAUGGACGCAAGUCUGACCCAGCCAUGCCGCGUGCAGGAUGACGGCCUUAUGGGUUGUAAACUGCUUUUGUAUGGGAUUAAAGUGUUGUACGUGUACGACAUUGCAAGUACCAUACGAAUAAGCAUCGGCUAACUCCGUGCCAGCAGCCGCGGUAAUACGGAGGAUGCAAGCGUUAUCCGGAAUCAUUGGGUUUAAAGGGUGCGUAGGUUGAUUAUUAAGUCAGUGGUGAAAAUUCCGGGCUCAACCCGGGACUUGCCGUUGAAACUGAUAAUCUCGAGUGUAACUGAUGU
rnacentral:rRNA from 1 species